GAGAGAAGAGCCAGUCAAGCUAGCCAAGGAGACUUGCUAUGAACCACAUAAGGGUUCCUUGAUCACUUGUGAUCAUGAUCCCAGCUGAAUCCCUUGGGGAGGACAUAGGCAAGUCAUCCUUGGCUACUAAACAAGACUCUUACCU
rfam:Macleaya cordata isolate BLH2017 scaffold1707, whole genome shotgun sequence.